rnacentral:rRNA from 1 species
UCCCCAGACUCCUACGGGAGGCAGCAGUGAGGAAUAUUGGUCAAUGGCCGGAAGGCUGAACCAGCCAAGUCGCGUGAGGGAAUAAGGCCCUAUGGGUCGUAAACCUCUUUUGUCAGGGAGCAAAGGCGUCCACGUGUGGACGAGAGGAGGGUACCUGAAGAAAAAGCAUCGGCUAACUCCGUGCCAGCAGCCGCGGUAAUACGGAGGAUGCGAGCGUUAUCCGGAUUUAUUGGGUUUAAAGGGUGCGUAGGCGGAUUUUUAAGUCAGCGGUAAAAUGUCCGGGCUCAACCCGGGCCGGCCGUUGAAACUGGGGAUCUUGAGUGGGCGAGAAGUAUGCGGAAUGCGUGGUGUAGCGGUGAAAUGCAUAGAUAUCACGCAGAACUCCGAUUGCGAAGGCAGCAUACCGGCGCUCAACUGACGCUGAGGCACGAAAGCGUGGGGAUCGAACAGGAUUAGAUACCCGCGUAAU